CCUACGGGUGGCAGCAGUGAGGAAUAUUGGUCAAUGGGCGGGAGCCUGAACCAGCCAAGCCGCGUGAAGGAAGAAGGCGCCAAGCGUCGUAAACUUCUUUUGUCGGGGAACAAAGGGCGCCACGUGUGGCGUUGUGAGUGUACCCGAAGAAAAAGCAUCGGCUAACUCCGUGCCAGCAGCCGCGGUAAUACGGAGGAUGCGAGCGUUAUCCGGAUUUAUUGGGUUUAAAGGGUGCGUAGGCGGACUGGAAAGUCAGCGGUAAAAUCGAGAGGCUCAACCUCUUUCCGCCGUUGAAACUGGUUUUCUUGAGUGAGCGAGAAGUAUGCGGAAUGCGUGGUGUAGCGGUGAAAUGCAUAGAUAUCACGCAGAACUCCGAUUGCGAAGGCAGCAUACCGGCGCUCAACUGACGCUCAUGCACGAAAGUGUGGGUAUCGAACAGGAUUAGAUACCCUUGUAGUC
rnacentral:rRNA from 1 species